rnacentral:lncRNA from 1 species
CUCAUCGGCGCACAUCUCCACAAAAGCUUCCCUCGCCGGAUUCGACCUGUAAAACACCUUCUGCAACACAUCCAGCACCUUAUAAGUUGGCCAGUAAGUUUUAUCCCAUUUCUCUAAGUACUUCCUCAAGUCCGAUUCCUCCACCAUUCUCUUCCCAUUCUCCGAUCCUUCAACGAUUGCCUCUGCGCACAUUCUCCCGCUCUUCGCUGCAAAAUAUAUUCCCUCGCCAGAGCAUUUCGUCACGUACCCAGCUGCAUCCCCGACGAGUGCUACUCUCCCAGCUAGUCGU